rnacentral:lncRNA from 1 species
AACACAAGGAAAAAGAGUACCCCUACAAUGGAAAUAAAAAAUCAGUGUCUAAGGUAACUAGACUAUUACAAAUAUGACCCAAAAUGGGGUAUAAAAUGCUAAUAUUAAAGUAUAUAAUGCGGCUAUUCUUAACCACCCCCAACUUUCUUGUACUUCGCCAAAAAGCCCCACAAAUGGGGGUCAAUUUGUAAUUUUUGAAAUUCCACCUUCCUAGCCAACAUCUUUUUGAAUAAUGCAUGCAGAAUCACCCCUACGCUUAUUCUAUCUUCUCAUUCUCUACAACCAAUGACUCUUCCAAUAUCCGAAAAUUCCACACCCAACACAGCGUGCUCCUACCCCUCCUCCUUAGAUGUAGUUCCGUCUGUCUCAUUUACGAAAAUUCGCAAUACCGUUAUAUGAUAAUAUAUAUAUGUAUAUGGUUCUAAUUUAUGUAACUUACAUAACACAUUGCAGUUAGUUGCAUCAUUGACUCAUGUUCACAUAAAGAGUUAUUCGGUGCACAUAUUUUGUUCUAUGUAUUUGACAUGUUUUGUAGUGUUUGACAUUUGUAAAUUUCAGUUCUAUGUAUUCUUACAUUUAUGUGCCUUUUUUUAUUUAUUAUUAUUUGUGAUUUUAAAUUUAAAAUCUUCAAUUUUGAAAAGAAAAAAGAAAUCAAAAUUAAGAAAAAAAACCAGAUUAAAAACAAAAAAAAUGAAAAUGAUGAAAUCGCAAUGGCAAUUUUAGUUGUCAAAACAAAAAAGGAAAAUGUUGAAAAAAAUCCCCUUUCGAAGUGGCGAUUUCUGACUCCAGGUGAAAUCACCUCUUUCAUAGGCAAUUAUAGGUGUCAGAAACAUUCAUAAAUCGCCUCCCGAAAAGGCGAUUUACACUAUUUGUGUAAACAAAAAAAGAAAUUUCCGUAUGCGACUGUAACUAAAAGAGUUGGUACAUAAUCUCGAUCAUCAGAGUCAGGUCUAUAGUUCUAAUUCUAUCCCUCCUCCUUUUCCAAUUUGUAACAAGUUGAAUUUAAAAAGAAAAAAAAAAAAAAAAAAAAAAACAUAAUAUCCCAUGAAUAUAUAUAUAGAGAGAUAUUUUCAAAUAAAAGCGCUAAUAUUAAUAACAAGAAUGUAGUUAUGAAAUAUCAAAUCUCUCAUGUGAAGAAGUCUAUUUUAUGUUUAAUAUACCUAUAACAAAUUACCGUUAUUUGAAUCAGCAUAUUUUGUAUACUUAAAUUUUCUGUUUGAUUUUCGCUCCAUUUCUUUUUUUGUUUUUCUUUUUUUUUUCAGAAAAAAAUCGAGCUUCCUCUGAAUUUUCCGUUAGGAAUCGAAAACUUCUUCUGUCGAUUGCAUGCGCAUCAAGAGUAGUUCAAUACAGUUUUUAUUCAUCUCCUUUUCUUUAAAUUUUCUUGAACCUUUUUUACCCUAACAUUGUUUAUGGUAUUUCUGUAAUUCUUCUUUUUUGGGAUUUGUUUUGAUUUUUUUUUUUCAGUUUUGAUCUUCUCUGUUAAAAGUUAUACAUUUGGAAGCAACAGUAAAAAAAAAAAAAGAAAUGAAUACCGGCGGUAAUUCUUUGCCGUCCGGACCAGACGG